rnacentral:lncRNA from 13 species
UGUUUGUAUGUGAUGGCGACACACUAUAGUUAUACCGGUGAUUCAAGAACAGAUUGGAAUAUUCCAUCUGCGACUUGCUCUCUUUGGCGAAAGGAUAUUUCUUGAUGCAUUCGACUUUAUUUGAUAAUCUAACGAGUUUGUAUGAAAAUGUCUUAGAAGUAUGGGAGAACAUACAGAGGAAUGCCAUUGAAAUGCAUGCUCAAGAUAAAAUUAUACUGAGUCCUGCGGAUAGUUGGUUACAUUUGUAGACUCGACGCAAUUAGAAACAUAUCUAAACCACGGUAGGACAAAGGAUAAAAAA